UACGUAGGCAGCAAGCGUUGUUCGGAGUUACUGGGCGUAAAGGGCGCGUAGGCGGUCGUGACAAGUCACUUGUGAAAUCUCCGGGCUUAACUCGGAACGGUCAAGUGAUACUGUCGGACUAGAGUACAGAAGGGGCAACUGGAAUUCUCGGUGUAGCGGUGAAAUGCGUAGAUAUCGAGAGGAACACCUGCGGCGAAGGCGGGUUGCUGGGCUGAUACUGACGCUGAGGCGCGAAAGCCAGGGGAGCGAACGGGG
rnacentral:rRNA from 1 species